AUGAACAAGGGGGAGGCUCACCCGGAGACCGCAGUAGAGAAUCUUGUGCAAUGAGCGAAAGCGUGACACAGAGAGGACGUACCCAGUCUGUCCAACUUAAGUGCCAGCAGACGCGGUAAAACUUAAGGGCUGGUCUCUAUAACCAAAAAGGCGUAAAGGAUGUGUCGGCCAAAAUUAUAAGAUAAGGUAAAGGGAAUUUUUCUGUAGCGGUAGAAUGUGUAAAUAGAAAAAAGAACCUCCAAGGUUAAAACCAAUUACUCUAAAAAAGGCUGAAACAUGAGAGGGUGGGAAGCAAACAGGAUUAGAGACCCUGGUAGUCCACCCCGGGAACUAUGAAGAUUAUGCGGGGCAGACCCUAAAGGAAAAUCUUCCGCCUGAGUAGUACGAUUGCAAAAUUAAAAUUCAAAAAGUUUGGCUGUUCACUUCUUAAAUUAGAGGAGCGUGUUGUUUAAUUCGAUGGUCCGCGUGUAACCUUACCCCAGCUUGAAACAAAACAGGUAUUGCAUGGCCGCCUUAAGCCCAUGUACAAAACAGGUACUGCAUGGCCGUCUUAAGGCCGCGUGUUUAACAAAAGGGUACGCAAUCCGCGCCUUAGCUCGGAGAAAGACAGGUCUCAUGGUCCUCAUGUUGGGGGAUUUAUGCGCUACAUUUUCUUAUAUAAUGGGAUGCUCUGGCAAAUCCCCAAAGUAGGGGCCCGAAAAGGGGCUGGAAUGCCCCCCGAAGUUGGAUUUAAUAGUAAUCGGGAAGUAGAGCGUCCCGGUGAAUUACUAUCAGUGUUGGUACAAAUCGCCCGUCGCCUUUACUUAAAAAGAUUAUUUGGACGCUUAAAGUGGCAACAAAGAUCUAUGAGGUAGAGAAAGUCGUAACAUGGUGAGAGGG
rnacentral:rRNA from 1 species